GCCCCCUUGGUGGAAUGGUAGACACGCUGGUCUUAGGAACCAGUAUGAAGUAAUAGUAGUGUGAGGGUUCGAGUCUCUCAGGGGGUA
rnacentral:tRNA from 1 species